rfam:Triticum aestivum genome assembly, contig: Triticum_aestivum_CS42_TGACv1_scaffold_222273_3B
CAACUACUCCCUCUGUCCCAAAUAUCUUUACUUAGAUUUGUCUAGAUAUGGAUGUAUCUAAUACUAAAAUGUGACUUGAUACAUCCGUAUCUAGACAAAUCUGAGACAAGAAUUUUGGGAUGGAGGGAGUACUUU